rnacentral:piRNA from 1 species
UAUCAGAAAAGGACUUAAUAGAAGA